rnacentral:rRNA from 1 species
CCUACGGGAGGCAGCAGUGAGGAAUAUUGGUCAAUGGACGAGAGUCUAAACCAGCCAAGUAGCGUGAAGGAUGACUGCCCUAUGGGUUGUAAACUUCUUUUAUAUGGGAAUAAAAUGUUCCACGUGUGGGAUUUUGUAUGUACCAUAUGAAUAAGGAUCGGCUAACUCCGUGCCAGCAGCCGCGGUAAUACGGAGGAUCCGAGCGUUAUCCGGAUUUAUUGGGUUUAAAGGGAGCGUAGGUGGAUUGUUAAGUCAGUUGUGAAAGUUUGCGGCUCAACCGUAAAAUUGCAGUGGAAACUGGCAGUCUUGAGGGCAGUAGAGGAGAGGGGAAUUCGUGGUGUAGCGGUGAAAUGAUUAGAGAACACGAAGAAAGCCAAUUGAGAAGGCAACUCACUGGACUGCAACUGACACGGAGGCUCGAAAGUGUGGGUAGCAAACAGGAUUAGAUACCCGGGUAGUC